UCGAGUCCUCCUCAAUGCUGGCUACGUUCUAUAUACUUUCCGAAGCAUAACUCGCGAAUGGACUAAUAGUGAACCAAAGUUUUAAUUGUCCUAGGGCUAGUUAGAAAACAACUUCUGGUUCUCCUGGAACUUAAAGCUACACUA
rnacentral:snoRNA from 1 species